GAAACCAACAGGGAUUGCCUCAGUAGCGGCGAGUGAAGCGGCAAGAGCUCAGAUUUGAAAUCGUGCUUUGCGGCACGAGUUGUAGAUUGCAGGUUGGAGUCUGUGUGGAAGGCGGUGUCCAAGUCCCUUGGAACAGGGCGCCCAGGAGGGUGAGAGCCCCGUGGGAUGCCGGCGGAAGCAGUGAGGCCCUUCUGACGAGUCGAGUUGUUUGGGAAUGCAGCUCCAAGCGGGUGGUAAAUUCCAUCUAAGGCUAAAUACUGGCGAGAGACCGAUAGCGAACAAGUACUGUGAAGGAAAGAUGAAAAGCACUUUGAAAAGAGAGUGAAACAGCACGUGAAAUUGUUGAAAGGGAAGGGUAUUGCGCCCGACAUGGGGAUUGCGCACCGCUGCCUCUCGUGGGCGGCGCUCUGGGCUUUCCCUGGGCCAGCAUCGGUUCUUGCUGCAGGAGAAGGGGUUCUGGAACGUGGCUCUUCGGAGUGUUAUAGCCAGGGCCAG
rnacentral:rRNA from 1 species